GUUAUUUGAGGUAGACAAUAGUGCCAUCCACACACCUUUAAAAUGUCAAAAGAAAUGCAGGACUUGGUACACCUGCCAAAUAGC
rnacentral:ncRNA from 1 species